GAUGAACGCUAGCGGCAGGCCUAAUACAUGCAAGUCGAACGAGAUUAAGGAGCUUGCUCCUUAUGAAAGUGGCGCACGGGUGCGUAACGCGUAUGCAACCUACCUUAAUCAGGGGGAUAGCCCGAAGAAAUUCGGAUUAACACCGCAUAAAAACACAGGAUAGCAUUAUCCAAUGUUCAAAUAUUUAUAGGAUUAAGAUGGGCAUGCGUGUCAUUAGCUAGUUGGCGGGGUAACGGCCCACCAAGGCGACGAUGACUAGGGGAUCUGAGAGGACGACCCCCCACACUGGUACUGAGACACGGACCAGACUCCUACGGGAGGCAGCAGUAAGGAAUAUUGGUCAAUGGAGGCAACUCUGAACCAGCCAUGCCGCGUGCAGGAAGACUGCCCUAUGGGUUGUAAACUGCUUUUAUCCGGGAAUAAACCUAAUUACGUGUAAUUAGCUGAAUGUACCGGAAGAAUAAGGAUCGGCUAACUCCGUGCCAGCCGCCGCGGUAACAC
rnacentral:rRNA from 1 species